rnacentral:lncRNA from 1 species
UUCCAACCUUUGGGAAUUAGUUAGACAAAAAAAAGAUAAAUGAAAAAAAAAUAUUUGGGGUGUUCGGGCUUCCUGAAGGUAAUACCCGGGUAUUAGGUUUUGGGGCUAGGGUUAGGUUUAAGGUUUUUGGCGUUAGGGUUAAAAUCACUGUCCAAAACCUUUUAAGGAACAUGUUUCAGACCUUUGGGAGUUAGUUAGACAAAAAAAUAAGAAAAAGAAAAAAAAAAUAUUUGGGGUGUUCGGGUUUCCUGAAGGUAAUACCCGGGUAUUAGGUUAUGGGGCUAGGGUAAGGUUUAAGGUUUUUGGCGUUAGAGUUAAAAUCAGUGUCCAAAACCUUUUUAGGAACAUGUUUAAGACCUUUUGGAGUUGGUUACACCAAAAAAAAAUGUAAAAUGCAAAAAAAAAAAAUAUUUGGGGUUUUUGGGCUUCCUGAAGGUAAUACCCCGGUAUUAGGUUUUGGGGCUAGGGUUAGGUUUAAGGUAUUUGGCGUUAGAGUCAAAAUCACUGUCCAAAACCUUUUUAGGAACAUGUUUCAGACCUUUUGGAGUUGGUUACACCAAAAAAAUUUAAAAUGAAAAAAAAUUUUUUUUGGGUGUUCGGGCUUCCUGACGGUAAUACUAGGUUUCUGGGCUAGGGUAAUGUUUAAGGUUUUUGGCGUUAGGGUUAAAAUCAAUGUCCAAAACCUUUGUAGGAACUCUUUUCCAACCUUUGAGAGCAAGUUAGACCAAAACAAAAAGAAAAAAAAAUAUAUAUAUUUGGGGUGUUCGGGCUUCCUGAAGGUAAUACCCGGGUAUCAGGUUAUGGGGCUAGGGUAAAGUUUAAGGUUUUCUGGCGUGAGGGUAAAAAUCACUGUCCAAAACCUUUGUAGGAACUCUUUUCCAACCUUUGGGAAUUAGUUAGACAAAAAAAAAAAGAUGAAUGAAAAAAAAAUAUUUGGGGUGUUCGGGCUUCCUGAAGGUAAUACCCGGGUAUUAGGUUUUGGGGCUAGGGUUGGGUUUAAGGUUUUUGGCGUUAGGGUUAAAAUAACUGUCCAAUAUUUUUUAAGGAACAUGUUUCAGACCUUUGGGAGUUAGUUAGACAAAAAAAUAAGAAAAAAAAAAUAUUUGGGGUGUUCGGGUUUCCUGAAGGUAAUACCCGGGUAUUAGGUUAUGGGGCUAGGGUAAGGUUUAAGGUUUUUGGCGUUAGAGUUAAAAUCAGUGUCCAAAACCUUUUUAGGAACAUGUUUCAGACCUUUUUGAGUUGGUUACACCAAAAAAAAAAUGUAAAAUGCAAAAAAAAAAUAUUUGGGGUUUUUGGGCUUCCUGAAGGUAAUACCCGGGUAUUAGGUUUUGGGGCUAGGGUUAGGUUGAAGGUAUUUAGCUUUAGGGUUAAAAUCACUGUCCAAAACCUUUUUAGGAACAUGUUUCAGACCUUUUGGAGUUGGUUACACCAAAAAAAAUGUAAAAUGAAAAAAAAAAAAUUUGGGGUGUUCGGGCUUCCUGAAGGUAAUACCCGGGUAUUAGGUUAUGGGGCUAGGGUAAGGUUAAAGGUUUUUGGAGUUAGAGUUAAAAUCACUGUCCAAAACCUUUUUAGGAACAUGUUUAAGACCUUUUGGAGUUGGUUACACCAAAAAAAAAUGUAAAAUGAAAAAAAAAAAAUUGGGGUGUUCGGGCUUCCUGAAGGUAAUACCCGGGUAUUAGGUUAUGGGGCUAGGGUAAGGUUUAAGGUUUUUGGCGUUAGGGUUAAAAUCACUGUCCAAAACCUUUGUAGGAACUCUUUUCCAACCUUUUGGAGUUAGUUAGACCAAAAAAAAAAAAAGAAAAAUGAAAAAAAAAUAUUUGGGGUGUUCGGGCUUCCUGAAGGUAAUACCCGGGUAUUAGGUUAUGGGGCUAGGGUAAGGUUUAAGGUUUUUGGCGUUAGGGUUAAAAUCACUGUCCAAAACCUUUUUAGGAACAUGUUUCAGACCUUUUGGAGUUAGUUAGACCAAAAAAAAAUGUAAAAUGAAAAAAAUAUAUUUGGGGUGUUCGGGCUUCCUGAAGGUAAUACCCGGGUAUUAGGUUAUGGGGCUAGGGUAAGGUUUAAGGUUUUUGGCGUUAGGGUUAAAAUCACUGUCCAAAACCUUUUAGGAACAUGUUUCAGACCUUUUGGAGUUGGUUACACCAAAAAAAAAGAAAAUGAAAAAAAAAUAUUUGGGGUGUUCGGGCUUCCUGAAGGUAAUACCCGGUAUUAGGUUAUGGGGCUAGGGUAAGGUUUAAGGUUUUUGGCGUGAGGGUUAAAAUCACUGUCCAAAACCUUUGUAGGAACUCUUUUCCAACCUUUUGGAGUUAGUUAGACCAAAAAAAUGAAAAAUGAAAAAAAAAUAUUUGGGGUGUUCGGGCUUCCUGAAGGUAAUACCCGGGUAUUAGGUUUUGGGGCUAGGGUAAGGUUUAAGGUUUUUGGCGAUAGGGUUAAAAUCACUGUCCAAAACCUUUGUAGGAAGUCUUUUCCAACCUUUUGGAGUUAGUUAGACAAAAAAAAAAGAUAAAUGAAAAAAAAAUAUUUGGGGUGUUCGGGCUUCCUGAAGGUAAUACCCGGGUAUUAGGUUAUGGGGCUAGGGUAAGGUUUAAGGUUUUUGGCGUAAGGGUUAAAAUCACUGUCCAAAACCUUUUUAGGAACAUGUUUCAGACCUUUUGGAGUUGGUUACACCAAAAAAAAUGUAAAAUGAAAAAAAAAAUAUUUGGGGUGUUUGGGCUUCCUGAAGGUAAUACCCGGGUAUUAGGUUAUGGGGCUAGGGUAAGGUUUAAGGUUUUUGGCGUGAGGGUUAAAAUCACUGUCCAAAACCUUUUUAGGAACAUGUUUCAGACCUUUUGGAGUUGGUUACACCAAAAAAAAUGUAAAAUGAAAAAAAAAAAUAUUUGGGGUGUUCGGGCUUCCUGAAGGUAAUAGGUUUUGGGGCUAGGGUAAGGUUUAAGGUUUUUGGCGUUAGGGUUAAAAUCACUGUCCAAAACCUUUUAAGGAACAAGAUUCAGACCUUUUGGAGUUGGUUACACAAAAAAAAAAAGAUAAAUGAAAAAAAAAUAUUUGGGGUGUUCGGGCUUCCUGAAGGUAAUACCCUUCAGGUUUAAGUAUUAGGUUAUGGGGCUAGGAUUAGGUUUAAGGUUUUUGGCGUAAGGGUUAAAAUCACUGUCCAAUAUUUUUUAAGGAACAUGUUUCAGACCUUUUGGAGCUAGUUUGACCAAAAAAAAAAAGAAAAAGAAAAAAUAUAUAUUUGGGGUGUUCGGGCUUCCUGAAGGUAAUACCCGGGUAUUAGGUUAUGGGGCUAGGGUAAGGUUUAAGGUUUUUGGCGUUAGGGUUAAAAUCACUGUCCAAAACCUUUUUAGGAACAUGUUUCAGACCUUUUGGAGUUGGUUGACCAAAAAAAAAAGAAAAAGAAAAAAAUAUAUUUGGGGUGUUCGGGCUUCCUGAAGGUAAUACCCGGGUAUUAGGUUUGGGGCUAGGGUAAGGUUUAAGGUUUUUGGCGUUAGGGUUAAAAUCACUGUCCAAAACCUUUGUAGGAACUCUUUUCCAACCUUUGAGAGCAAGUUAGACCAAAACAAAAAGAAAAAAAUAUAUAUAUAUUUGGGGUGUUCGGGCUUCCUGAAGGUAAUACCCGGGUAUUAGGUUAUGGGGCUAGGGAAAGGUUUAAGGUUUUUGGCGUGAGGGUAAAAAUCACUGUCCAAAACCUUUGUAGGAACUCUUUUCCAACCUUUGGGAAUUAGUUAGACAAAAAAAAGAUAAAUGAAAAAAAAAUAUUUGGGGUGUUCGGGCUUCCUGAAGGUAAUACCCGGGUAUUAGGUUUUGGGGCUAGGGUUAGGUUUAAGGUUUUUGGCGUUAGGGUUAAAAUCACUGUCCAAAACCUUUUUAGGAACAUGUUUCAGACCUUUUGGAGUUAGUUAGACAAAAAAAUAAGAAAAAGAAAAAAAAAAUAUUUGGGGUGUUCGGGUUUCCUGAAGGUAAUACCCGGGUAUUAGGUUAUGGGGCUGGGUAAGGUUUAAGGUUUUUGGCGUUAGGGUUAAAAUCACUGUCCAAAACCUUUUUAGGAACAUGUUUAAGACCUUUUGGAGUUGGUUACACCAAAAAAAAAUGUAAAAUGAAAAAAAAAUAUUUGGGGUGUUCGGGCUUCCUGAAGGUAAUACCCGGUAUUAGGUUUGGGGCUAGGGUUAAGGUUUAAGGUUUUUGGCGUUAGGGUUAAAAUCACUGUCCAAAACCUUUUAGGAACAUGUUUCAGACCUUUUGGAGUUGGUUACACCAAAAAAAAGUAAAAUGAAAAAAAAAAUUUUUGGGUGUUCGGGCUUCCUGAAGGUAAUACGGUUUUAGGUUAUGGGGCUAGGGUAAUGUUUAAGGUUUUUGGCGUUAGGGUUAAAAUCAAUGUCCAAAACCUUUGUAGGAACUCUUUUCCAACCUUUGAGAGCAAGUUAGACCAAAACAAAAAGAAAAAAAUAUAUAUAUAUUUGGGGUGUUCGGGCUUCCUGAAGGUAAUACCCGGGUAUUAGGUUAUGGGGCUAGGGUAAAGUUUAAGGUUUUCUGGCGUGAGGGUAAAAAUCACUGUCCAAAACCUUUGUAGGAACUCUUUUCCAACCUUUGGGAAUUAGUUAGACAAAAAAAAAAAGAUGAAUGAAAAAAAAAUAUUUGGGGUGUUCGGGCUUCCUGAAGGUAAUACCCGGGUAUUAGGUUUUGGGGCUAGGGUUGGGUUUAAGGUUUUUGGCGUUAGGGUUAAAAUAACUGUCCAAUAUUUUUUAAGGAACAUGUUUCAGACCUUUGGGAGUUAGUUAGACAAAAAAAUAAGAAAAAAAAAAUAUUUGGGGUGUUCGGGUUUCCUGAAGGUAAUACCCGGGUAUUAGGUUAUGGGGCUAGGGUAAGGUUUAAGGUUUUUGGCGUUAGAGUUAAAAUCAGUGUCCAAAACCUUUUUAGGAACAUGUUUCAGACCUUUUUGAGUUGGUUACACCAAAAAAAAAAUGUAAAAUGCAAAAAAAAAAUAUUUGGGGUUUUUGGGCUUCCUGAAGGUAAUACCCGGGUAUUAGGUUUUGGGGCUAGUGUUAGGUUGAAGGUAUUUAGCUUUAGGGUUAAAAUCACUGUCCAAAACCUUUUUAGGAACAUGUUUCAGACCUUUUGGAGUUGGUUACACCAAAAAAAAUGUAAAAUGAAAAAAAAAAAAUUGGGGUGUUCAAGCUUCCUGAAGGUAAUACCCGGAUAUUAGGUUAUGGGGCUAGGGUAAGGUUAAAGGUUUUUGGAGUUAGAGUUAAAAUCAGUGUCCAAAACCUUUUUAGGAACAUGUUUAAGACCUUUUGGAGUUGGUUACACCAAAAAAAAAAUGUAAAAUGAAAAAAAAAAAUUUGGGGUGUUCGGGCUUCCUGAAGGUAAUACCCGGGUAUUAGGUUUUGGGGCUAGGGUAAGGUUUAAGGUUUUUGGUGUUAGGGUUAAAAUCACUGUCCAAAACCUUUGUAGGAACUCUUUUCUGACCUUUUGGAGUUAGUUAGACCAAAAAAAAAGAAAAAAGAAAAAAAUAUAAUUGGGGUGUUCGGGCUUCCUGAAGGUAAUACCCGGGUAUGAGGUUAUGGGGCUAGGGUAAGGUUUAAGGUUUUUGGCGUUAGGGUUAAAAUCACUGUCCAAAACCUUUUUAGGAACAUGUUUCAGACCUUUUGGAGUUGGUAACACCAAAAAUAAAUGUAAAAUGAAAAAAAAAAUAUAUGGGGUGUUCGGGUUCCCUGAAGGUAAUACCCGGGUAUUAGGUUUUGGGGCUAGGGUAAGGUUUAAGGUUUUUGACGUUAGGGUUAAAAUCACUGUCCAAAACCUUUUAAGGAACAAGAUUCAGACCUUUUGGAGUUGGUUACACCAAAAAAAAUGUAAAAUGAAAAAAAAUAUAUUUUGGGUGUUCGGGCUUCCUGAAGGUAAUACCCUUCAGGUUUAAGUAUUAGGUUAUGGGGCUAGGAUUUGGUUUAAGGUUUUUGGCGUAAGGGUUAAAAUCACUGUCCAAUAUUUUUUAAGGAACAUGUUUCAGACCUUUUGGAGCUUGUUUGACCAAAAAAAAAAAGAAAAAGAAAAAAUAUAUAUUUGGGGUGUUCGGGCUUCCUGAAGGUAAUACCCGGGUAUUAGGUUAUGGGGCUAGGUUAAGGUUUAAGGUUUUUGGCAUGAGGGUUAAAAUCAAUGUCCAAAACCUUUGUAGGAAGUCUUUUCCAACCUUUUGGAGUUAGUUAGACAAAAAAAAAAAAAGAUAAAUGAAAAAAAAAUAUUUGGGGUGUUCGGGCUUCCUGAAGGUAAUAGGUUUUGGGGCUAGGGUAAGGUUUAAGGUUUUUGGCGUUAGGGUUAAAAUCACUGUCCAAAACCUUUUAAGGAACAAGAUUCAGACCUUUUGGAGUUGGUUACACCAAAAAAAAUGUAAAAUGAAAAAAAAAAAUAUUUGGGGUGUUCGGGCUUCCUGAAGGUAAUACCCUUCAGGUUUAAGUAUUAGGUUAUGGGGCUAGGAUUAGGUUUAAGGUUUUUGGCGUAAGGGUUAAAAUCACUGUCCAAAACCUUUUUAGGAACAUGUUUCAGACCUUUUGGAGUUGGUUACACCAAAAAAAAAAAAAAAAGAAAAAAAAUAUAUAUUUGGGGUGUUCGGGCUUCCUGAAGGUAAUACCCGGGUAUUAGGUUAUGGGGCUAGGUUAAGGUUUAAGGUUUUUGGCAUGAGGGUUAAAAUCACUGUCCAAAACCUUUGUAGGAAGUCUUUUCCAUCCUUUUGGAGUUAGUUAGACAAAAAAAAAAGAUAAAUGAAAAAAAAAUAUUUGGGGUGUUCGGGCUUCCUGAAGGUAAUACCCGGGUAAGGUUUAAGGUUUUUGGCGUAAGGGUUAAAAUCACUGUCCAAAACCUUUUUAGGACCAUGUUUCAGACCUUUUGGAGUUGGUUACACCAAAAAAAAAAAAGAAAAAGAAAAAAAAAAUAUUUGGGGUGUUCGGGUUUCCUGAAGGUAAUACCCGGGUAUUAGGUUAUGGGGCUAGGGUAAGUUUUAAGGUUUUUGGCGUUAGGGUUAAAAUCACUGUCCAAAACCUUUUUAGGAACAUGUUUAAGACCUUUUGGAGUUGGUUACACCAAAAAAAAAUGUAAAAUGAAAAAAAUAUAUAUUUGGGGUGUUCGGGCUUCCUGAAGGUAAUACCCGGGUAUUAGGUAAUGGGGCUAGGGUAAGGUUUAAGGUUUUUGGCGUGAGGGUUAAAAUCACUGUCCAAAACCUUUGUAGGACCUCUUUUCCAACCUUUUGGUGUUAGUUAGACCAAAAAAAAACGAAAAAUGAAAAAAAAAUAUUUGGGGUUUUUGGGCUUCCUGAAGGUAAUAGGUUAUGGGGCUUUGGAAAGGUUUAAGGUUUUUGGCGUGAGGGUUAAAAUCACUGUCCAAAACCUUUGUAGGAAGUCUUUUCCAACCUUUUGGAGUUAGUUAGACCAAUAAAAAAAUGAAAAAUGAAAAAAAAAAAUUUGGGGUGUUCGGGCUUCCUGAAGGUAUUAGGUUUUGGGGCUAGGGUAAGGUUUAAGGUUUUUGGCGUUAGGGUUAAAAUCACUGUCCAAAACCUUUUUAGGAACAUGUUUAAGACCUUUUGGAGUUGGUUACACCAAAAAAAAAUGUAAAAUGAAAAAAAUAUAUAUUUGGGGUGUUCGGGCUUCCUGAAGGUAAUACCCGGGUAUUAGGUAAUGGGGCUAGGGUAAGGUUUAAGGUUUUUGGCGUGAGGGUUAAAAUCACCGUCCAAAACCUUUGUAGGAAGUCUUUUCCAACCUUUUGGAGUUAGUUAGACAAAAAAAAAAAGAUAAAUGAAAAAAAAAUAUUUGGGGUGUUCGGGCUUCCUGAAGGUAAUACCCGGGUAUUAGGUUAUGGGGCUAGGGUAAGUUUUAAGGUUUU